CCUUCAUUCUAAAACCUACGCUAAAAACUAUAGCUUCAAUUGUCCAAUGACGCUAAUCUCAUCACUUUGUCUUCAACGAUUUUCUUUAACCCCAACUCAAGUAAAGCACUUCUCACUUUGUCUUCAACCUCGAUUCUAAGCCUCCUCCUCUGCUUUGUCCUCCUCAUCCCAGCCUCCUUCUUUGUCCUCCACCCUCCUCAUCUUCUGUCCCAACCCCAUCUCCGCCCAACCGCAACCACAUUCGAUGGAAAUCUAACAAGAUUUGAGGAAAGCCCGUCGAGAUUCGACGAAAAUCCCAACUCGAUUUCUCUUCGUUAGGCCCUCUUCCGAGAUCGAUUUCAUCUUCUUCCCUGGACCUUUGAAAAAGGAGGCAACUUGUUCUCAUGAGUCCUAAGAUUCAAUGUUAUCUAUCUUUGUUUGUACAGUUCAAACAAUAACAAGACUUGCAGCAAUGAGAAGAUAAACGAAAUACAUGAUUAUGAGCCAGUUCAUGAAGCCUUAUAUAUUGGAUGAAUGAGUACAUAGUUUUUUUUUGAGAUGGAAUGAGUACAUAGUUAUGUGUAGGGAAUACAACUUUUAUUUUAAUUAUAUAUGAAAUAUAAAUUUUAGGAUUCUUUCUAUUAACAAUUUUAGUAUUAUGUAAUUAGUUAAUGGUUAAUUUUAUCAUUAACAAUCAUAUAGUUGAUUACUAAUUAUAAAAAUUUUAUAUAA